AUGGAGUUUUGUGCCGUCAAAGAUCAGGCCAACAACGGAUCGACCCUCGCCUCGAGGUUCGCUCUUCAUCAAGUGGUAUCAGAGACCGGCGUUUCUCACGGCACUUCGGAGGAGACGGCCGGCGUGCCGUCACCAAGGAGCUAUUGGAGGCUCUCCGGGGACUUUUUGCUGGAGGAGAAAGGCUAUGGUGCUAAACUUUUCCACACCUAUUGUAAGGUGGGAGAGAAACUUUGCGCCAUGACGAUCGACCAUGAUAGUUCGAUCAACGCGGUCGGCGUCGACAUGGUGGAGAAGAUGCAACUAUCGAUGACACCACAUCCACGACCAUACUCACUGAGGAGGUACCACGACAAGCUCGACAUUACGCACCAAACUACGGUACUGUUCUCAGUUGGCAAAUUUUCUUGUGUGGUUAUGUGCGACGUAAUUCCGGUACCAAUGAUUUCUUGUCAUAUGCUGCUGGGAGAGCCGUGGUACAAGAAAAAUAAUGCUAGACACGACUACCUCACCAAUAAAUACACUGUCGGAUGGGAUACAAAAUAUGUUCUCAUGGUCAUGGAGAAGAAGCUGUUCAAUACGUGGAGGGAAAAACAACUGCUGGAGAUGAAAGAACAGGAAGAAGCAGAAAAGAAGAAGGUCGAAACUCCUAAUAUUUCUACGGUGGUUAGUCAAUCUGCAAAUGAAAAUAUUGCUGAAAAGGUCAACACGAAACCGAUGACGGUUUCAUUUCAAGAGAGAGAGGAUGAUACAGCCACAACUAAUGUCAAUGGUUUCAACGUUCAAGUAAGUUUUCCAUAG
rnacentral:rRNA from 1 species